ACCUCUCUCACAAGCCCACAUCAGACAAUCUCUGCCCCUGUUAUCUGUAAUUGACAGAUCAGCUCCCUCUGACACAAGAAGGUGAUAAACAUCAGAGCGUCCGGCUUUAGAUGCUAUCAUGGCGGGUGUCAUGUCGCUGUUAUCUCUCUUGUUGAUGUUGAUAAUUUUCAAAGAUAGUAGGUGUCUAACUAUAGACACGUUAUCUGAGGUUCUUGACACCCAUGUCAACUUGUUACCU